UACGUAGGGAGCAAGCGUUAUCCGGAUUUACUGGGUGUAAAGGGAGCGCAGGCGGGAAGCCAAGUCAGCUGUGAAAACUACGGGCUUAACUUGUAGACUGCAGUUGAAACUGGUUUUCUUGAGUGAAGUAGAGGUUGGCGGAAUUCCGAGUGUAGCGGUGAAAUGCGUAGAUAUUCGGAGGAACACCGGUGGCGAAGGCGGCCAACUGGGCUUUAACUGACGCUGAGGCUCGAAAGUGUGGGGAGCAAACAGG
rnacentral:rRNA from 1 species